GAUAGGCUAGAUCUGCAACCU
rnacentral:miRNA from 1 species